rnacentral:lncRNA from 1 species
CCCCGCCCUUAAUGCUGUGUCUCUGACGUCAGCUUCUGAGACAGCGGGGCCGAGGCAAUAAUAGCCCCUUAAAUAUGCACUUCCUCCAACGGGUCAUGACACUCGCUUCACUGUGAUUGCAGCAGAGGAUAUGGGGUGACAUCAGCCUGGAAGAUUCUCAGCUGGUCCGGGACUGAGGGUGAGGCCAACGAGACCUUCAGCUAAGCUACGAAAUUUAAGGGGACACCACAAGAACCCAGUAAGCAAGAUAAAUAAUCUUUAAUGCAAAAUUUGUAAGAAUCAAACUUAAUGCAAAAACAAUCUGAGAUGAACAAAGUCUCAACACUUUAAAUAAACACGUGAUCUAAAGUCCA